rnacentral:lncRNA from 1 species
AAAUUUAGGAUCCUCCAUAACAUUGUGGUAGAGUCUGAAAGGUUUGGGAUGAAUCAGUCUUUUCCUUCCAAAUUUUAAGAAAAUAGGAGUAUGAUCAGAGAUAGAAUGAUUUAAGAAUUCAGCUUCUACAUGGCUGUAUUGUUGUAACCAUUGAAGAUUCCCAAUUGCCCAGUCUAUCUUACUAUAGACCUGUUUGUUUGUCCAAGAAUACCUCCAGCCUUUUGACCUGAUGGGAGUAAGAUUGAGA